AGAGUUUGAUCCUGGCUCAGGACGAACGCUGGCGGCGUGCCUAAUACAUGCAAGUCGAGCGGACAGGUGGGAGCUUGCUCCCUGAUGUUAGCGGCGGACGGGUGAGUAACACGUGGGUAACCUGCCUGUAAGACUGGGAUAACUCCGGGAAACCGGGGCUAAUACCGGAUGGUUGUUUGAACCGCAUGGUUCAAACAUAAAAGGUGGCUUCGGCUACCACUUACAGAUGGACCCGCGGCGCAUUAGCUAGUUGGUGAGGUAACGGCUCACCAAGGCAACGAUGCGUAGCCGACCUGAGGGUGAUCGGCCACACUGGGACUGAGACACGGCCCAGACUCCUACGGGAGGCAGCAGUAGGGAAUCUUCCGCAAUGGACGAAAGUCUGACGGAGCAACGCCGCGUGAGUGAUGAAGGUCUUCGGAUCGUAAAGCUCUGUUGUUAGGGAAGAACAAGUACCGUUCGAACAGGGCGGUACCUUGACGGUACCUAACCAGAAAGCCACGGCUAACUACGUGCCAGCAGCCGCGGUAAUACGUAGGUGGCAAGCGUUUUCCGGAAUUAUUGGGCGUAAAGGGCUCGCAGGCGGUUUCUUAAGUCUGAUGUGAAAGCCCCCGGCUCAACCGGGGAGGGUCAUUGGAAACUGGGGAACUUGAGUGCAGAAGAGGAGAGUGGAAUUCCACGUGUAGCGGUGAAAUGCGUAGAGAUGUGGAGGAACACCAGUGGCGAAGGCGACUCUCUGGUCUGUAACUGACGCUGAGGAGCGAAAGCGUGGGGAGCGAACAGGAUUAGAUACCCUGGUAGUCCACGCCGUAAACGAUGAGUGCUAAGUGUUAGGGGGUUUCCGCCCCUUAGUGCUGCAGCUAACGCAUUAAGCACUCCGCCUGGGGAGUACGGUCGCAAGACUGAAACUCAAAGGAAUUGACGGGGGCCCGCACAAGCGGUGGAGCAUGUGGUUUAAUUCGAAGCAACGCGAAGAACCUUACCAGGUCUUGACAUCCUCUGACAAUCCUAGAGAUAGGACGUCCCCUUCGGGGGCAGAGUGACAGGUGGUGCAUGGUUGUCGUCAGCUCGUGUCGUGAGAUGUUGGGUUAAGUCCCGCAACGAGCGCAACCCUUGAUCUUAGUUGCCAGCAUUCAGUUGGGCACUCUAAGGUGACUGCCGGUGACAAACCGGAGGAAGGUGGGGAUGACGUCAAAUCAUCAUGCCCCUUAUGACCUGGGCUACACACGUGCUACAAUGGACAGAACAAAGGGCAGCGAAACCGCGAGGUUAAGCCAAUCCCACAAAUCUGUUCUCAGUUCGGAUCGCAGUCUGCAACUCGACUGCGUGAAGCUGGAAUCGCUAGUAAUCGCGGAUCAGCAUGCCGCGGUGAGUACGUUCCCGGGCCUUGUACACACCGCCCGUCACACCACGAGAGUUUGUAACACCCGAAGUCGGUGAGGUAACCUUUUAGGAGCCAGCCGCCGAAGGUGGGACAGAUGAUUGGGGUGAAGUCGUAACAAGGUAGCCGUAUCGGAAGGUGCGGCUG
rnacentral:rRNA from 1 species